UUUGACAACUCAAAGUGAACUAAAAGUGGAACUACAUAGAUAAGAUUGGCAUGGCCCCAGCGCAAGAAUGACACACAAAUUUGGCAUGUAUUUAUUAUUAUU